GUGGGGGAUAUUGCACAAUGGAGGAAACUCUGAUGCAGCGACGCCGCGUGAGUGAAGAAGUAUUUCGGUAUGUAAAGCUCUAUCAGCAGGGAAGAUAAUGACAGUACCUGACUAAGAAGCCCCGGCUAACUACGUGCCAGCAGCCGCGGUAAUACGUAGGGGGCAAGCGUUAUCCGGAUUUACUGGGUGUAAAGGGAGCGUAGACGGAAUGGUAAGUCUGAAGUGAAAUCCUGCGGCUUAACUGCAGAAUUGCUUUGGAAACUGUCAAUCUGGAGUGGUGGAGAGGUAAGCGGAAUUCCUGGUGUAGCGGUGAAAUGCGUAGAUAUCAGGAAGAACACCGGAGGCGAAGGCGGCUUACUGGACAAUAACUGACGUUGAGGCUCGAAAGCGUGGGAAGCAAACAGGAUUAGAAACCCCGGUAGUCC
rnacentral:rRNA from 1 species